AAAACGCUCACGUUCAAGGGCAGCCAGGUGCAUUGGCAGGUCUAGACCAGGAAUUUCAAAAGAGCCCAAGGGGUUUAUCCGCCUAAUUUCAAACAAAUUAAGGUUAACGCAAAAAUUAAAUUUAAGGAUAGCAGGGGCGUUCGGAUCUGGGUCAGGGGUAGGACCAGAGUUCGGGUUCUGGGUAGGAUGGGAGUUGGGAGCCGAAUUCCAUGAUUCUUUUUCCUAAAACCCAGAGCCCGGUUACCUAGUUG